ensembl:lncRNA
GAAACAAUUGUUUGAAAGUCUUUAGACACCAUAUCUGGUCUCUGUAUCCUCUCUGCCACAGGAAACCAUCUUAAACCCAGAGCAAGAAACGUAAAUUCACUUGGCUGUCCCUUGUCUCUAAGGCACCUGAUGCGUAAGUGGACUAGAGAAAGGAAAGAAAGAACAACUCUGAAGACCUACAGAUCAUCUUGCUGGCAGGGUCACGAUUUCUUCAGAUUGAGGUGGAAUUUUGGCUCAUGGAGAUCUGAUGUGAUAGGGAACACACUUUUCACCUGCCUUGCGUGGCACAGCUGAAUUACAAAGAGAAGCAAUGAUGAGAAUCGCUGCAGAAGACCUCAAGAGAUACACGAGCGGCUGUGGCUUCUGUAACUUUCAAAAUUUCCAGUGUCUGUGAGCAAAUUAAGAUAGAAAUGCAAAGUUCUGCCUGGCAAGAGAACGGAGAGCACCAGACUCAGGCUGUGGGUUAGUGCACCAGACUGUAAUCUGGGACACACGCAGCAGAGCACCAGCACUGAAAUAGCACCUGCACUGCCGUGCACACCAUAGUCCUGUGGACAAGAUGCUGUCAAAUCUCUUCGUCUUUAAAUCAUAUCAGCCAGCUUCGC